GACGAACGCUGGCGGCGUGCUUAACACAUGCAAGUCGAACGGAAAGGCCCUGCUUUUGUGGGGUGCUCGAGUGGCGAACGGGUGAGUAACACGUGAGUAACCUGCCCUUGACUUUGGGAUAACUUCAGGAAACUGGGGCUAAUACCGGAUAGGAGCUCCUGCUGCAUGGUGGGGGUUGGAAAGUUUCGGCGGUUGGGGAUGGACUCGCGGCUUAUCAGCUUGUUGGUGGGGUAGUGGCUUACCAAGGCUUUGACGGGUAGCCGGCCUGAGAGGGUGACCGGCCACAUUGGGACUGAGAUACGGCCCAGACUCCUACGGGAGGCAGCAGUGGGGAAUAUUGCACAAUGGGCGGAAGCCUGAUGCAGCAACGCCGCGUGCGGGAUGGCGGCCUUCGGGUUGUAAACCGCUUUCGCCUAUGACGAAGCGUGAGUGACGGUAAUGGGUAAAGAAGCACCGGCUAACUACGUG
rnacentral:rRNA from 1 species